GAAGGCUGGCAGGCAGGAGGGCUGAGGUGAGCACUGGGGGGCCAUGGAGCUGGCAGCAAAGCCCGUGGUCUAUCAGAAGCUGCUGCCCCAGGAACCAAGCUUGGAGUCGGAGGAGGAAGUGGAGGAGGAGGAGACAUCAGAGGUGCUGAUUCCAAACCCCUGGAGGCACCAGGACUCUUCCAGGAACAAGGCUGGCGGGCUGCCCGGAACCUGGGCCCGUGUAGUGGCAGCCCUGCUGCUGCUGGCUGUUGGCUGCUCUCUGGCUGUGAGGCAGCUCCAGAAUCAGGGCAGCUCCAUAGGAAGCUUGGGCUCUGUGGCCCCUCCACCCGGCGGACACUCCCACGGUCCUGGUGUAUACCACCAUGGUGCCAUCAUCAGCCCUGCAGGUCAGUCAGUGCUGGGGGCGGCUUGGGGGAGGGGAGGGUCAGAGGUCACCGGCCCAGCCCCCAUCCUUGCUGCAUGACAGUGCCUUCCUUGCUGCAGUCACAUGCUCCCACCUAGGCCGAGAGCUGCUUGUUGCCGGGGGCAACGUCGUGGAUGCUGGAGUUGGAG
rnacentral:sRNA from 1 species